rnacentral:rRNA from 1 species
CCUACGGGGGGCAGCAGUGGGGGAUAUUGCACAAUGGGGGAAACCCUGAUGCAGCGACGCCGCGUGUGGGAAGACGGUCCUCUGGAUUGUAAACCACUGUUCCCAGGGACGAAGAUGACGGUACCUGGGGAGGAAGCUCCGGCUAACUACGUGCCAGCAGUCGCGGUAAUACGUAGGGGCCGAGCGUUGUCCGGAAUUACUGGGUGUAAGGGGAGCGUAGGCGGGACUGCAAGGUGGAGGUCAAAUCUACCGGCUCAACCGGUAGCCGCACUCAAAACUGCAGUUCUUGAGUGAAGUAGAGGCAGGCGGAAUUCCUAGUGUAGCGGUGAAAUGCGUAGAUAUUAGGAGGAACACCAGUGGCGAAGGCGGCCUGCUGGGCUUUUACUGACGCUGAGGCUCGAAAGUGUGGGGAGCAAACAGGAUUAGAUACCCCUGUAGUC